GGUUUUUUUUUAAGCAGCAGCCCCUCUUUUGACUUGUAUGAUGCGUCCAUUUCUAAUUCUGGCAUCUAUUCUACAGUGAUUUUCUACCCUUUAAUUCAUAUAUAUACACAUUUCUUUCACUCUCUCUAUAUAAUUUUUUUCAUUUCUUUAAACUUGGUUUACAGAAGGCCAUGCCUUUAUCUUACAAAUAAGGUGACGUUUGGCUCAUCAAGUGCUCCCUUUAGCUUAAAGAGCCCCUGUUAGCAUGGUCAACCCUAUUUAAUCAGGCAUGUUGCCUGGUAGAGUAGAUCAUGCCGAUUAAAACAAUAACUUAUUUAUUUUUGUAGGUUGUAGUGUUCUGGAGGUAUGAAGAUUUUUUUUAUCUUUAUGCAAAUUAGGCAGUUGGAGCACCAAGGGGUUAGGUGUAGUGCUUCGAGCACCGUUGCAGCUACGCACCUAGUGCUCGUUACACUCCCCCGUCCACUUUGACUGACAGGGCUAAUAAGGGAAAGCAGUCACUGCACAGACACAAUAAAACAGGGCUAUUAGCCCUGUCAAUGAAGAUUACAAUUACUUACCGGUAAUUGUUUUUUCCUCUAGCCUCAACAGCAGCACUGAUUCACAGGAGGUUACCCCGCCUCCCCUAGGGACAGGAAACAACUAAAUAACUGAGAAACUCUGAAAUGGAUGCGACAUGAUGUUAUGUAUCUAUUUUUCAAAUAACAAAACCAAAUACCAGAAUACGGCAUCAAAUUAUUACAUAGAUGUGGGGGGAAAAUUCCCCGUGCCGCUGUGGAGGCUAGAGGAAAAACCAAUUACCAGUAAGUAAUUGUAAUCUUUCCAAACGCCUCCACAGUGGCACGGAUUCACAGGAGGAAUAAGAGAGAAAUUAAAUAACUAGGGUGGGACCACUGCAGAUAACACUCUGCGAGAAAACGAUAAGUCCCUAUUUUUAACACAUCUAAUUGAUAAUGUCGGAAAAAAAGUAGAAGGCGAAGACCAGGUGGCUGCCUGGCAUAUUUGUUCCAGAGAGACGCCCAGGAAGCUGUGACUGAUCGAGUUGAAUGAGCUUUUAGUCCCUUUGGAGGAAUGACAUCUUUGAAGUUGUAGCAAAAAAGGAUUGCUGAUCUGAUCCAUCUUCCAAUGGUUGUCUUGCUUGCCGCCUGUUCUCUAUUUGGCCUAGCAAACUGAAUGAAGAGUUUGUCUUCCUGAAAAUUUCUGUUGCCUUAAGGUAAGCUAACACAUCUGCGAACAGAUUAUGAAAACGCUUAUGCCAGAGAAGCAGGAAGGGCCGCACUGCGAGCCCCCUAAGAAGUGCUCCUCGGAAUCUUCAGCUGGGCUUCCAAGAGAACUCCUGCCGGUGCGUGCCCUUUACAGGAGGUUCUCCACACAUCCCAGAGGGACAGGAAACAAUUGGAGCAGGUAAGGGGAGGGGGCUAUUUAAAGAUCUCCACGUUGUUUCCUGUCCCUAGUGGAAGCGCGGUAACCUCCUGUGAAUCCGUGCCGCUGUGGAGGCGUUUGGAAAAAGGGGAAUGUAAUGAGCACUAGGGGCAUACCUGUAGCGGUGCUUUAAGUCCUACAGCCUUACCCUUGGUUCUCCAACUGUCUGAUUUGCACAAGGAUAAAAAUCCUCAUAUCGCCAGAACACUGCAACCUACAAAAGAUAGAUAAGGUAUUAUUUUAAUCAGCAUGAUCACACCUACCAGGCAAUAUGCCUGGUUUAAUAGGGUUGAUCAUGCUGACAGAGGCUCUUUAAUUAAAGUACAUUGGGUAUCUGGGGAUACAUUGGGAAAUGUAGAAAGUGCCUUGAGUUUAAAGAUGCUUUCCAUUUAAAGGGAUAAUCAAGGAUUACAAAAAAGGGGUCUGCUAGAUACAGUGCCACUGUUGUUUACAGGCUAUGUUUGAUUCUGCAGAUCUUCUACAUUUACAUGAAUGAUGAGCUGCAAUACCAUAAACAGCCCAUGAACAAAACUGCCACCAUUAAUGGAGAAAGAAAUGCCCCUCUUUCUAAUCCCCCC